AACGAACGCUGGCGGCAGGCUUAACACAUGCAAGUCGAGCGCCCCGCAAGGGGAGCGGCAGACGGGUGAGUAACGCGUGGGAAUCUACCCAUCUCUACGGAAUAACGCAUGGAAACGUGUGCUAAUACCGUAUGCGUCCUUCGGGAGAAAGAUUUAUCGGAGAUGGAUGAGCCCGCGUUGGAUUAGCUAGUUGGUGGGGUAAAGGCCUACCAAGGCGACGAUCCAUAGCUGGUCUGAGAGGAUGAUCAGCCACACUGGGACUGAGACACGGCCCAGACUCCUACGGGAGGCAGCAGUGGGGAAUAUCGGACAAUGGGCGCAAGCCUGAUCCAGCCAUGCCGCGUGAGUGAUGAAGGCCCUAGGGUUGUAAAGCUCUUUCACCGGUGAAGAUAAUGACGGUAACCGGAGAAGAAGCCCCGGCUAACUUCGUGCCAGCCGCCGCGGUAAAAC
rnacentral:rRNA from 1 species